UAUGACAGUGUUGUGUGAAAAUCAAUAAAAAGGAUGGAGAGGGUCAGGGAGCUCCCUCCUUGGGCCACCUGGGGAUGGGGACAAGCUGCAAAAGGGUCUUUUUUCUGUCAGGAGCAACCUGAGUCGCUUCUGGAGUGAGAGAAUUGGCCGUCUGCAAGGACGUUGCCCAGGGGACGCCCGGAUGUUUUGAUGCAAGGAUGGUAAAACAUCAAAACAUCCGGGCACCCCCGGGCAACGUCCUUGCAGAUGGCCAAUUCUCUCACUCCAGAAGCAACUCCGGUUGCUCCUGACACACACACACACACAAAAUCAAUCUAUUUUGGAAAAUGGAAAUCUCCAUAACCUUUUGGAGAUUUUAUUAUCUUUGAAAAGGCAUGACCUUGUUAGAACUCAUAACCUUUUGAAAAAUGAUGCCAUGACCUCUUGGUAAAAUGCAUGAUUUGUUGGAGUCAUAACCUUUUGGAAAAUGGCAUUCAUGAAAGGCAAUCAGGUUUCUCAGCUGUUAAACUGAUGUGCCUAUGUAUGUCUUUAAACUGUUAGGGACAAAGAUAUGCCAAUGCACAAAACACACACACACACAUAUAUAGCAGAGUUUCAGAAGUGUUCUUUUAGUUGCCCAAAAACAUCUACUCUACCUUAAAAUAUAUUUGCCUUUAAAUCAUGCUCUCAAGAGACAAAUUUAUUUAUUUAUUUAUGAUCUUUCUAUCCCACCUUUCUCUACCCUGAACAUGACUCAAGGUGGCUUUACAGAUAGGCAGCUUUUUGAUGAUUAAAAAACAAUACAAAACUACAAUGGACAUUUAAAAAGAAUAAUAAAAUACAAUUAAAAACAAUUAGAGGCAAUUAAAAACAAUACAAUCACAGUUAAUUAAGUAAUCCGCAAGCAUAAUCCGGGCUGUUCCUACGGUCAAUACAUGUCACUUCAUAUCUGUAUAUUGUACUGGUUUCUCCAAAGGCCACGUUUUUACUCUUUUAUGGAAGAUUAUAAGGGAGGGGGCUUAUCUAAUAUCCCUGGGGAGGGAGUUCCAUAGCCGAGGGGCCACCACUGAGAAGGCCCUGUCUCUCAUCCCCACCAAAAAUGGGUAGACUUCUUUAAAGGUAGCAUAGUUGGUUUACUCACAAACUUCAUGUAUUCAGCAUACAGAUACUUUGCUUAUCAAUCCAGUUACAAAUAGAUUUGAAGUAGUUUCUCUGUGUAAGUAAUACAGCUAAUCUUUCUUGAAUCUUAACAGUCCAUAAUCUAAAGCAUCUCCCUGUUCUGAGAGUCUAAUAGAGUCUCUGUCUAGUCUGAAAGUCCAAUUGAGUCUCUAAGGCAUUCAGUUUCCUACUGAAGUCUAAGGCAUACAGUUUCCUGAGGGCAUCUGAAUGCAUACUGAAGUCUCUAAGCAUACAUCUAAAAUGGAGUCUGAGUCCUGAACAAGCCCAGAUCUUAUCACAUGGUCUGCAGCCCAUCCCACAACAAAGAGUUAGGAGCCUCCGGUGGCCUAGGGGAUAAAAGCCUUAUGACUUGAAGGUUUGGUUGCUGACCUGAAAGCUGCCAGGUUUGAAUCCCACCCGGGGAGAGUGCAGAUGAGCUCCCUCUUUCAG
ensembl:lncRNA